GAUAAGAACGUAGCGAAAUGCGAUAAGUAAUGUGAAUUGCAGAAUUCAGUGAAUCAUCGAGUCUUUGAACGCACAUUGCGCCCCCUGGUAUUCCGGGGGGCAUGCCUGUCCGAGCGUCAUUGCUGCCCUCAAGCACGGCUUGUGUGUUGGGCCGUCGUCCCCCUCCUAGGGGACGGGCCCGAAAGGCAGCGGCGGCACCGCGUCCGGUCCUCGAGCGUAUGGGGCUUCGUCACCCGCUCCGUAGGCCCGGCCGGCGCUUGCCGACGACCAUCAAUCUCUUUCUCCAGGUUGACCUCGGAUCAGGUAGGGAUACCCGCUGAACUUAAGCAUAUCAAUAAGCGGAGGA
rnacentral:misc_RNA from 1 species